AAACCAUGUUGUGGGCAUGAGCUGAUGAGAUCCUUGAACCGUUCCCAACAUUAAAAGAUGUUUCAUCUUCCUUUUGGGCAAAGUUCAUGAUCAACUUCCUGAUGGU